UGAGGUCACCUACGGCUGUGGCCGUGCAG
rnacentral:piRNA from 1 species